rnacentral:lncRNA from 1 species
GUAUAUAUAAACCAACAGAGAGCUCUGCUAUUAUUUUUCUUACAUUUUCAGAGUCCCAUCGGCAGAUGAGUGGUAUACAGCAUGAAGCUGAUGUUGUCUAUUAACUGUAAUAGAUGGUGGUUCUUUCCCACUGAAUUGCCCCAGAGUCAAAUGAACCUGAUUCAGACAAAGAAACUAAAUGUAAUCGUAUCCUUUUCUCAUUUUAUAAAUAUAAAAAUGAUUCUCCUCUUCAUCAGGACAACAACCUAGCCCAGUUCUGAAAUGACAUUGUGCUUUUUUACGAGACAGACAUUUCUCGUUUCAGUUAAAUCCCUUUAAACAACAAUGAAAACUGUUAAAUGUUACAACUGUUUAAACAACAAUCUCAGUUUCAAAUUUUGAUUUUCUUGCAGUCUUCCUAGAGUAAACUAUUUCCUUUAGCAGAAAAAUGAGUUUUCCUAAAAAUAUACCUUACAAAGCUCAGUGCUCUAAAAAGUUACAAAAAUAGACUUACAUUUAAAAAUCAUGUUGGAAUGUGUGUUUUAUAGCACAAAAAUGUGUGCCCCUGAUAUGGCUGAUAAGACUAGAGGCAAGAGACUCUAUUCAGUAAGGUUUUAUAGCCCCAGCAAGGAAAACAAAGGAAAAAAAAAAUGUGCCUGUCACCAAGUAAUAAAUGCGGAACAGACACUAAGGGCAACUUCAAGCACUGUCACUGAGGUGAGCAGCUCAUUCCCUGUAGCAGAAGAUGGGUGUUUUAAACCAACUUCUUAGCAAAGAAACUGUCUAGGGCUUUCUCAAGGCUCAGAUUUGGGGUAUCUGCCACUUUUGGCAUGAGUUAGCUGCUGGUGGCAAGGAAUUAGAGGCUUUGGAAUGGCCAGCAGCAGCCGAGGCUCCAGGCACACCAGGGAUGGCGGUCAUUCUGGCACUGCCGUGGGAACCUCUUCCACACACACAGUCUGAUUCUGCCCUAAUCGGGGGCACAGUGUCGAUGCAUAGGCUAGUCCAGGGGAAGGUGACCUGAGAGAUGAGGGUUCCCACUCUGGUUGUCCAUUAGAGCCACACAGGGAGCCCCUGCAAUUAUGAUUACACUGCUCCUUUUGAGCUUACAGUCAGUCCUGAUGGGCAGCGCAGGUGAGCACGGUGAGUCACCACGGCCCGACAGCCUGUCCUGCACGAGUGCAGCCCCAGGCCUCGCCUAGCGUGCCACGAGUGGGAGGCUGUCAGCCCAGGCCUGAGUCUCCCUGAAGGACAUUUUCUUUACAUAGCUGUUGCCCAAAUUUGGUGCCCAUCAGAAUCACCAGGGGAGCUCUGAGAAGCGCCUGGCCCAGGCUGCAGCUGAGACAAAUUCAGAGUCUUUUUGGUUGGGACCCAGGAGACACCCAAGGGCAGUCAGCCUGAGAACUGCUGCCUGUCUGCCUCUGCACUUCACGGUUCAUGCAUGUCUGCAGUUUUGACAGGGGAAGUCUGAAGCUC